rnacentral:lncRNA from 1 species
UGGAGUAAGCAAGAGUCAGAUGACUUUUUAAAGCGAGUUUAGAGUAGGAAUAUCAUUUUCCCUCUUUUUAACUUUCUCAAGCUGCUCAAAUACCAUUUUACCAGUUGUGAACAACAAAAUUCAUCUUCCUAUACUCCAGUUAAUCGCCUUUUCUCCUCUCGGAAUGUCUUUUAUUUCUUUCUUGAAAACAAUUCUGAUAUUCCUCCUUAUGCUGAUAUGAUUUCUUCUAUUUUUUCUUGUAAAUCUCAGCACAUCUGCCACAUCAAUAUUGUCAUAACAUCCUAUCAGAUAAUACAAAGUCAAGAUCAGACAGACGUCAUUGACCAAAAUUAAGUUUGCAUGUACCAAGUCUUUUUAGAGGUAUUUCUUACGAUUCACAUGCCAAAAUUAGUAGAAUGUUUGCAGCCACUGUAAAACAGUUCUUGUCAGCUUACAAGUGAUCCCACUGAGGCACAACCCCUACUUAGUAAUUGAUUUUGACAGUUAUCAACUAACCAUGUCUUUGAACCUCUUUUAUAACCAGUGUAGAAGGAUAAAAAGAAUCUUGGUUCCACCAUUUCUGGCUAGAAAUGGUUCCAAGUUCCACUGGGUGAAGUCACAAAGUAACAGUUAGGAAAAUAAGCUUUCUUUUUAGAGAAUUCAGUCAUAUAGGCUUAGAUGGUGAUUCUAGUCUUCCCUGUCGAAGAACAAACCUCUUUCCAUUAGAUCCGUGCAAAGCAACAACAAUAAGUUUUUGUAGAUACGGAAAUAUGGAUGCAACUAUCCUUGUUAUCAAGGCAAAGUUAGUGGCUAUUCAGAUAAAACCUUGGAGAUUAGGUAAACUGGAGAAAGGCUCAUGAAGGUCCUAAAGAACUGUAUACUCCCAAUAUUUCAAUUGUCUAAGCUUCAUCUUCUAGCCAAGUACGUAAAUCAAAGAAUUGAUCCUCCUAUGACAGAACGUGAAAAUGCUGAAAUCGUAACCUUCUCCUUGUCGUGGGAUAGUCCUUCCAAGACAUGAGAAUCACUCUUUCUCAUAAUACUCAUUUUAGAUACCAUCUACCCAUCUGGGAGAGUUUUAUAGACUUCACAAUUUUCUGAUGUAGUGGGUGUAUCCUCAAAAGGGAUUGAGGUGUUUGAAGAGGAUCCAACAGUAAAAAGCAAAGAUCCCUAUUAAGAGAUCGUUAGGAACUACGUGGGUAGGAAUAAAUUAGGGUUAUUUGAAUUAAGAUUAUAGUUUCUGAUAUGGAUUUCUGUUAUUGGAAUCAUGCUAAGGUACAUUCUUAUACAGCUUAUGACAGUUGUCCUUAGCUCUGUUGCCCUUUUGCACAAAUGAUUGGUACUAUAUAAAUAGGAGAACAUAUACAAAAAUUUUUUAAGGUAUUCGGUCCUAUAUCCCCUUAUUUCCCAUCUGAUAUGCUGCUUGGUUUCCUACAAAUCGCUAGAGUCUGUUUGAUGAUUUACUACAGACUAUAACAAUCUCUAUAUACACGAUUACAAAAGGUGAUAGGCAACAUAGCCACCUGGUAUGCUAAUAACCUUCCAACUUAGUUCCUGAGUUUGUUUGACAAUUUAGUACAAGUUAUGACGAUUUCUAUAUAAGAUCAUACAAGAUAGUUAUUCAAUAUGAAAAACUAUACAAGCAAUCUUCAUGAGAUAGGUGAACUUUUAUAGCAAUUAUCAAGUGAAAUAUGAAGAUUCAUUAUAAGUAUCGUGCAAUUAAGAACACAUUUAUGAAGCAUUCCCUCAAAAGUCCCCUUAAACUUUACAUUGACUCCCAUAAACCCGAUUCGAGGAAUGUCAUGAAAAACCUAUACUCCAUUCUGAAAAGAAAAUUUAGUUUAUAACUAGCGUGAAACUUCCACUAAUAAAAUUCUAUGAUUUGUUUGGUAGAGUCAUUUUACCAAUGGAUGCACACAACCCACCUACGAGCUUUCGACUAAAAACUAGAGUUUAAUGAUACAUCUAUUUCAGAGUAAUAAUACUAUUUUUCGAACCAUUGUAUGAAAAUUUAUCCUAAAGAUAACCGAUGGUGACAUAGCUACUUGUGAGUCUAUACAAAGGUCUACGGUUUGACUUUUCAUGUAGUUUAACUCUAUAACCUAGUGAUAUUGAGGGUGAAUGUUACUUUCACAUACUUGGGCAAUUACAAGGAGAUAGUAACUGUAUGUGAAUUUAGACCUUAAACAUUUAGUCUAAACCACAAGAUGAAUACCUUACACCUAAUUACCAUGUACUCUGCUUAUUUUUCCAAAUGAUUUAAUAUUUUUUCAGAAUGCCUAAGUGUUAUCAUUGUUACGCAUACCACUAUGGUUGAAUCAUACAAGGUUUGCCACCUUAGGAUACUGCUAUUCACUGACUAAAUUCUUACAACUAGAACUCUAAAUGGAUUAUAGCUUGUUUUUGGAUUUGUGUAUCGUAAGGGGAGAGAUCUAGAGCCUUCUCCCUACACUGUAAUUCCUACUAGUAGGUGAAGGGAUAUUUAUAAACAUUUUGUCAUUAUGUCCAUUUCAUCAAAAGUUUCCAUGUGAGGGUUUAGUCUGAACUUCUAUCAUUUACCAUUCUAUACACUUUGUUGUCAUUACCACUAGCACAUCAUCAUUAGAGGUUCUUAUGCCCCCAUGUUCUUGUCAGAGAAACAGAUUGUCAAGACCAGCAACCCAACAGUAUCAAUCUUCAAUUACUUAUUUUAAUUUUAUUGUACAUAAAAUAAAGAGAUCACCAUUUAAACUAAAACAUUUAAAAUGAAACUUCACAAAUACUAGCGAAACGAACAUAACAGCAUACAUGAUUAGAAUGUUCCAUAACCAUGCUGUAUCUAACAAUAAAUCAGAGAGAGAUCAUAGCUAAAGAAACUAAAGAGCUAUAGCUAAGCAAAGAAUUUUCUUAAAAAGAAAAAGAAAAGAAAUGGUGUUAGAAAAAAACUCACUACCUUUAAAAGAAAGUAAGAAUACGUAAGAAGAAAAAAUGACAAAUAUCAGAGAGUCAAUUAAUCUGGCAUGGGAAUUCAAUCUAUCUCAAAACCUGCCUUUUGUAAAGGACAUGAACGUCAUACCUAAGUUGACACAUCCUAAGUAUAAACAACAGCAUUUAUACAUAGUAUAAGGCCCAAUUAUCUCCCAUUUGCAAACAGGACGGAACCAAUGUCAUCAUAUUAUUUAGACAAGCCCAAAAAUGCACAAACCAACUAGAAUAAUAUAAUUUGGAAAAGGAACCCAUUCAACCAUCAGGAAAUUAACUGGAACAAACAAUUAUUGGAGAUUUAUUCCCUCCUUAAUGCAAUCAUACAAAAAUUGAAAAGAAAAAACAAGUUUCCAGAAAAAAAACAAGUCAACCUAAAUGAUAGGAAUUCAUUCUCAUUGAUACUACCCUUAGUAUGCCGAAAAGGGUUAGGAAAUUGAGCAAAACAAACUGAGCAAAAUACAUUAAAUUUAUACCUACACUUUCUUCAUCAGAAAAAGAGAGACAACACUAAACUCAAAAUGACAUUAAUUGAUCUAAGAAAAGGUUACAAAAAAACAAAAACAAAAAAGCUAAAAAGCAUUCACGAGAGUUUACUAAUCAGCAGGAAAUCGAUCCCUGGUUCUCAUGUACUUAAUCAUCUAGAAUAUAUACAAAAUCCAUCAUUUUGAACUACACAAUGAAAAUCGAAACUCUUAACUCAUCCAAAUACAACAGCAGAAUACAGAAAUCUUAAAUAAAAAAAAUAAAAAAAUCAAAUCUGUCUCAAAAACUCAAAAUGUCAUUAAGAUCGUGCUCUUCUUUUACUUACCAGUGUCGAACGGUCACGAGUAUCUUCAUCAGCCCCUUCUCCUUUAUGUUUGGCUUGUAGUAUUAUUUCAAAAAAAAUGUUUGGCUUCUAGUAGAUUUUCUCCUCUCCUUCAGGUCUUUCCAGUCUCUUCUCGUCUAUUUUAUUGCUUUCGCUUCUCAAACGACGUCGUUCCGAAGCUUGGGCUGGCUGCAGUGUAAGAAGCCUGAACAUAAACUUGUUGGGCUGAGCUUAAUGGGC